CAGCCGCCGCGGUAAUACCGGCGGCCCGAGUGGCGGUCACUAUUAUUUGGCUUAAAGCGUCCGUAGCCGGGUUGGGAAGUCCUCCGGGAAAUCUGGCCGCUUAACGGUCAGAAUGCCGGAGGAUACUCCCAGCCUAGGGAGCGGGAGAGGCCGAGGGUAUUCCCGGAGUAGGGGUGAAAUCCUAUAAUCCCGGGAGGACCACCUGUGGCGAAGGCGCUCGGCUGGAACGCGUCCGACGGUGAGGGACGAAGGCCAGGGGAGCAAACCGGAUUAGAUACCCGGGUAGUCCUGGCUGUAAACGAUGCGGACUUUGUGUCGGACAAGCUAUGAGCUUGUCCGGUGCCGGAGGGAAACCGUUAAGUCCGCCGCCUGGGGAGUACGGCCGCAAGGUUGAAACUUAAAGGAAUUGGCGGG
rnacentral:rRNA from 1 species